rnacentral:rRNA from 1 species
GAUGAACGCUGGCGGCGUGCCUAAUACAUGCAAGUCGAGCGAACAGACGAGUAGCUUGCUCCUCUGACGUUAGCGGCGGACGUGUGAGUAACACGUGGAUAACCUACCUAUAAGACUGGGAUCACUUCGGGAAACCGGAGCUAAUACCGGAUAAUAUAUUGAACCGCAUGGUUCAAUAGUGAAAGACGGUUUUGCUGUCACUUAUAGAUGGAUCCGCGCCGCAUUAGCUAGUUGGUAAGGUAACGGCUUACCAAGGCGACGAUGCGUAGCCGACCUGAGAGGGGGAUAGGCCACACGGGAACUGAGACACGGUCCAGACUCCUACGGGAGGCAGCAGUAGGGAAUCUGCCGCAAAGGGCGAAAGCCUGACGGAGCAACGCAGAGUGAGUGAUGAAGGUCUUCGGAUAGUAAAACUCUGUUAUUAGGGAAGAACAAAUGUGUAAGUAACUAUGCACGGCUUGACGGUACCUAAUCAGAAAGCCACGGCUAACUACGUG